rnacentral:tRNA from 1 species
GUAUAAGUGGUUUAGUGGUAGAAUAGUACCCUGCCACGGUAUAGACCCAGGUUCGUUUCUCGGCUGGUGCA